UUCGUAGGUGGCAAGCGUUGUCCGGAAUCAUUGGGCGUAAAGCGCACGUAGGCGGUCCAGUAAGUCGGGUGUGAAAGCCCUCGGCUCAACCGAGGAAGUGCAUUCGAAACUACUGAACUUGAGUAUGGAAGAGGGUCGCGGAAUUCCCGGUGUAGAGGUGAAAUUCGUAGAUAUCGGGAGGAACACCAGUGGCGAAGGCGGCGACCUGGGCCAAUACUGACGCUGAGGUGCGAAAGCGUGGGGAGCAAACAGG
rnacentral:rRNA from 1 species